rnacentral:tRNA from 1 species
GCCAGUGUAGCUCAGUGGUAGAGCAGAGGACUCAUAAGCCUUUGGUCGCAGGUUCAAAUCCCGCCACUGGCACCA